AUUGAACGCUGGCGGCAGGCCUAACACAUGCAAGUCGAACGGUAAGGCCCUUCGGGGUACACGAGUGGCGAACGGGUGAGUAACACGUGGGUGAUCUGCCCUGCACUUCGGGAUAAGCCUGGGAAACUGGGUCUAAUACCGGAUAGGACCACUGCCUACAUGGGUGGUGGUGGAAAGCUUUUGCGGUGUGGGAUGGGCCCGCGGCCUAUCAGCUUGUUGGUGGGGUGAUGGCCUACCAAGGCGACGACGGGUAGCCGGCCUGAGAGGGUGACCGGCCACACUGGGACUGAGAUACGGCCCAGACUCCUACGGGAGGCAGCAGUGGGGAAUAUUGCACAAUGGGCGCAAGCCUGAUGCAGCGACGCCGCGUGAGGGAUGACGGCCUUCGGGUUGUAAACCUCUUUCAGCACCGACGAAGCGCAAGUGACGGUAGGUGCAGAAGAAGGACCGGCCAACUACGUGCCAGCAGCCGCCGUAACAC
rnacentral:rRNA from 1 species